UUAUUAAUGAAAGACGAGAAGACCCUAUAGAGCUUGAAUUAAAUUUUUUUUAUUAGUUUCUAUUUAUUAGGUUGAAUAAUAUUGAUUGAGUUAAUUUUUGUUGGGGUGACAUUUAAAUUUUAUUUGGUUUUAAAAUACGAUAAAAAUACUUUUUAAUUUAUAAUAAUUUAUUUAAAAUGAUCCAAUAAUAUUGAUCUUAGGACUAAGUUACCUUAGGGUUAACAGCAUAAUCUCUUUUGAGAGUUCUUAUCGACGAAGAGGAUUGUGACCUCGAUGUUGGAUUA
rnacentral:rRNA from 1 species